rnacentral:misc_RNA from 1 species
GAUGAAGAACGCAGCGAAAUGCGAUACUUGGUGUGAAUUGCAGAAUCCCGUGAACCAUCGAGUCUUUGAACGUAAGUUGCGCCUCAAGCCAUUAGGUUGAGGGCACGUCUGCCUGGGCGUCACAUAUCGUUGCCUGAUGCCAGUUUCCUCGUGAUGGGUGACUGUGCAGGGCGAAUGAUGGCUUCCCGUGAGCAUUGUUGCCUCAUGGUUGGUUGAAAAUUGAGUCCUUGGUAGGGAGCGCCGUGAUAGAUGGUGGUUGAGUGACGAACGAGACCCAAUCAUGUGAGACCCCUACCGAAUUUGGCCUUCAUGACCCACAUGCGUCUUUGGAACGCUCAUGACGAGACCUCAGGUCAGGCGGGGCUACCCGCUGAGUUUAAGCAUAUCAAUAAGCGGAGGA